UACGUAGUGCGCAAGCGUUGUCCGGAAUUAUUGGGCGUAACGCGCUCGUAGGCGGUUUGUCGCGUCUGCUGUGAAAACCUAAGGCUCAACCUUGGGCUUGCAGUGGGUACGGGCAGACUAGAGUGCGGUAGGGGUGACUGGAAUUCCUGGUGUAGCGGUGGAAUGCGCAGAUAUCAGGAGGAACACCGAUGGCGAAGGCAGGUCACUGGGCCGCAACUGACGCUGAGGAGCGAAAGCAUGGGGAGCGAACAGG
rnacentral:rRNA from 1 species